rnacentral:rRNA from 1 species
CCUACGGGAGGCAGCAGUGGGGAAUAUUGCACAAUGGGCGAAACCCUGAUGCAGCGACGCCGCGUGAGUGAAGAAGUAAUUCGUUAUGUAAAGCUCUAUCAGCCGGGAAGAAAAUGACGGUACGUGAGUAAGAAGCCCCGGCUAACUACGUGCCAGCAGCCGCUGUAAUACGUAGGGGGCAAGCGUUAUCCGGAUUUACUGGGUGUAAAGGGAGCGUAGACGGCAGUGCAAGUCUGGAGUGAAAGGCGGGGGCUCAACCCCCGGACUGCUCUGGAAACUGUACGGCUGGAGUGCAGGAGAGGUAAGUGGAAUGCCUAGUGUAGCGGUGAAAUGCGUAGAUAUUAGGAAGAACACCAGUGGCGAAGGCGGCUUACUGGACUGUAACUGACGUUGAGGCUCGAAAGCGUGGGGAGCAAACAGGAUUAGAUACCCCGGUAGUC